UUUUUUAGUUUUGGGUGCGGUAGCUUAACCGAGCUCCACCCUCCAUUUCUAGAUUUUCUUUUGGCUUUUCAGCGUCAAUAACGAUUUAUGGUAGUUUAGAAUGGAAAAACGGAAUGAACGAAAAAAAGUUUCACUUACCAACGUCGGUUUGGGUCUUUGGUGCGAUGGCGAUGGUGGCUAGCUUCCUCCCCUCCGACGACUGGUUGGCUUUCU
rnacentral:lncRNA from 1 species